rnacentral:rRNA from 1 species
UCCUGGCUCAGGAUGAACGCUGGCGGCGUGCCUAAUACAUGCAAGUCGAGCGAACGGACGAGAGUGCUUGCACUCUUUGAUGUUAGCGGCGGACGGGUGAGUAACACGUGGGUAACCUACCUAUAAGACCGGGAUAACUUCGGGAAACCGGAGCUAAUACCGGAUAAUAUUUUUCUCUGCAUGGAGGAAUAGUGAAAGACGGUUUUGCUGUCACUUAUAGAUGGACCCGCGGUGUAUUAGCUAGUUGGUGAGGUAACGGCUCACCAAGGCAACGAUACAUAGCCGACCUGAGAGGGUGAUCGGCCACACUGGGACUGAGACACGGCCCAGACUCCUACGGGAGGCAGCAGUAGGGAAUCUUCCGCAAUGGACGAAAGUCUGACGGAGCAACGCCGCGUGAGUGAAGAAGGUUUUCGGAUCGUAAAACUCUGUUGUAAGGGAAGAACAAGUACGUUAGUAAC